AAUGGCGCACUCCCAUCAUUCCCUGCUGCCCAUGAUGGUGGUGUCAUGUAGAGUACAGGGCGAGGUAAAAUAUGAUCGCAUAGUUCCCUUCGCCGCACAACAUAAUUUGGCAACGCUGUACGAAUACAUUCCGAAACCAACAUGAGUGUUUAAAAAGGGCUCCUCAAACGUUGAUUGGGGCUUGAUUUUAAGAAGUGGAAGAGGGGAAGUGCACGCCACAGUCCCAUGAGGAUCGCCUGGCGUCUUCCCUGCCCCUACGUGGCACAGCGCGAACUCUGCCGUUUCCUCGUGGUGUCUCAGAGGACAACGCAGAGGGAGCUUAAUUUCAAGGCAACUGGCAUCUUUUUGCCAACCUGCUGAAGGCGCCCAUCUGGCCUUUGGGGAAGACUCAAGCUCUCCUGAAAGCUGUCUUCCCACUUCUCCCUGCCAUCCAUGCCCUGUAGGCAGAACCGGUCCUGGCUGGGCCCACCGCUCCUGGCCCAGAAUUUAAUGAGGUCUCAUCCACUCAUCAUAGGAGCCCCUGGGCUGCCCCAUCUUCCCCCUGUCCCCACAGGCACCACCUCCUUUCCACACAAGGUAAGAAUCCCAAGGAAGAAAUUGGAGAGGCUCUUCUAAGAAGUGUAUCUCACCAUUUGUUUUCUGGGAGCCCCCAGGACUUACACUAGAAAGAGCCCCUUACACUUCCUGCCAGAGGCCCAAGACCUCAAGGAGCAAAGGCCCCCGUCCCCUCCUGCCAUCAUUUAAGAGACAUUGUACAUCCCAGUUUCUCUAGAGUAUUUAUCUUGAAGUCUCUGGUCAAAACAGUCAAGACUUUGAAUUCCACCAGCUCCACGUGAAGUUCUCCCAGUGAGGAUUUAACAUCAUUGUGAAACACAUUCUUCCCAAAAGCUGCCACAGGUAGGUUUUAAGAACAAGGUCAAGAACAUAUCACCCAAAAUAGUUUUGGAUUUUUUUUUUUUCUCCUGGAAAUAAUAUUCAUCAAUCUGGUUCUCGAAAGGUCGGCCAGGAAUAUUAAGACAUUUUUAGUAUGAGUUUGCUAUCUGUAGCUGUCUUUUUGGCAAGUGCUUAGCAUAUUUCAUAACGAGCAAUGAUGUUGGUAUUUGCUUCUUGACAUUUCAGGGUCAGGGUAUUUUAAGCUUCAAAGUGUUAAAUUCUACUGAAAGUUUUAAUUUUUGAAAUUUUAAAGUAGAGAUUCUUUUUCAUUGGUGCUCCAAGAUCAGCUGUUCUGUCCAUAAAUUCAGCUGAAUUAAGCUGACAACCAAGGAACUUCAGUAUGUGACAGAAAACACUGAACAGCAUUGAGAUCUUCAAAAACCAACGCAAACUGGGAUCAAAUGUACUGUUUUUCACAACAGUUAUGCUGACAGCAAGGCUGAAGAUUUCCAGUACAUUACGGGCAGACUGAUGGAAGUCAAUGCUUGGGGGUGACUGCUGCAGCACAUCUUGAAUGCCAGUUUUCUUCAAUUUUUGACAAAAACCCAGAUCUAAAACAUGCCAUUACUGUAGCACCACCAACAUAGACUCCUGUAACUUUUCCUACAACUCAGUUCACUUGAUACAACUUCAAAAAAUACUUUCUUUAGUGGUCAAGUACUCGGCUUAGUGAAAAGAGCACAUCCACAGUUUUUAAAGCCUUAAUCUGAACAUAAGCAAAGCACAAUUUUCUUCAUCAGCAGAUUCAUCUCAACUAAUAGCAAAGAAGGAUGAGCUGAUGUUUUUUAAAACCUGACAUUUGAUGUGCUCAGUCAAUCAGUUCAGACACAGAAGUAGAUGAAGAAAUUCUGGAGUUCAGUUUCCUCUCAAAGUUGUGGCAGUACCCGGAAUGCAAGACUUUGUAAGUUUCUCCAUUUUUUUCUCCUUUGCAAUUAAAAGGGCUAUUUAAUAAUAAGCUUUCAUGGCCUUCGAAGAUUCCUGUUAAUACUCCCAUACUGUCCAAUCUUAAAACUGCAGAGAAUUGUGCUUUGCAGAACACUCCACUGUUGUUAGUGGCACACAUUUAACAGCGUUUGGCAUGUGUCACUGCCCAUCACUUUCAGAUAAGUGAAAAAGCUGACCCUAUCUUCUGCGUCAUACAUGACUAUAUACUUAAUAUAAGCCUCAAACAUUUUUUUGGCUGCCAUCUUUAGCUACCUCAAAGGAGAAAACAGAAAAACAAGGAGUAAUGAUGCUGGAAGCAUCUGGUCCCUUUUGCAGAGCGACGAAGAUUUUAUUGCCCUAUAUUGGCGGCAGUGGGUGGCCAGGCAAUACAGGCAUCCAGUUAUGCCUGAGCCUCAAUAAGUGAAAUGUUUUUUCAUUUUCUUUUUAUACACCUGUCUGCCGCCUAAAACCUGACACCAUUUAAUGGUGCCCUCACUCAGUCUAAAUGAUCUUACUUUCAUAAUCCUCUGAUUCUAGCUUGAAGAGCCAAGGAGAACUCUAACUCAUGGGAUGGAUAAAAUGGAAGAUGUAAAUAAGUAAAAGUUUUCGGAGCUAAAAAGCCUCUUCUUAUACAAAACUAAACUUUAAAAACAUUGACCUCAAAACAAUGUAACUGUCCUGGAUAUGCAACAGAAAUAGCAGUAUAAAUGGCACCAUAUCCACCACAAACAUCUCUGGGUACCCAAUCUGUCAUACACCUCAUUGAUUAUAGGCUUUACUCUGAAUGCUUCUUACUCUACUUUCUCUGUGUUCCUACCAGCCAAGGAAUUCUUUCCAAUUUAUUUCCUAUAUUAAGAAAAAUUAAAUAUUUUUUCUUUUUAACAUUAUAAUACUAAAUCUGAUUUUAUAAACUGUAACUCUCCCCAUACCCUGCAAUGCUGAUAUAAUGUGGGGUGGGGGGGAGAAUGCCGUUCUUUCCUGUUCCUGAGAAUCACUGACCUAUUCCUUGAGCCCAUGAGUAACAACUCCCUAAAACAGCAUAGUCCCUAAAACCAAAAAACCUUGGUCACCUCCAAAGCAGAUUAAAAUUUUGUUGAAUUAGUAGCUGACAAGAGAGAAUUUAAUGUAACGAGAACUGUGCAGUGGAUAAUGUAUAGCAUAUUAAAUAAACCUUUAUACAAAAAUAGU